AUACGUAGGGGGCGAGCGUUGUCCGGAUUUACUGGGCGUAAAGGGUGAGUAGGCGGUUAUGUAUGUCAGGUGUAAAAGGCGUAGGCUUAACUUACGUUAGCACUUGAAACUGCAUAACUUGAGUGCAGGAGAGGCAAGUGGAAUUCCUAGUGUAGCGGUGAAAUGCGUAGAUAUUAGGAGGAACACCAGUGGCGAAGGCGACUUACUGGACUGUAACUGACGCUGAGUCACGAAAGCGUGGGUAGCAAACAGGAUUAGAUACCCUGGUAGUCCACGCUGUAAACGAUGAGUGCUAGGUGUUGGGUAGCGAUAUUCAGUGCCGAAGUAAACACAAUAAGCACUCCGCCUGGGGAGUACGGUCGCAAGACUGAAACUUAAAGGAAUUGACGGGG
rnacentral:rRNA from 1 species